CUUUGACAAAAGGAGAAGCAUCUAAAAAAAAGACAGAUGUUACCAUAUCACUAAUACAACAUAAAAUACUUUACACAAACAGAUAGCAUCAUGUAUAAAAGCGAGCAACAUAAAUAACAUAAGGAGUAUUUAUGUAUAAGGUUUAAUUCUUGAAUUUUACACAUGUGUGCAACAUGUAUGUUGUUAAAUACAUAAUGUAUAUCCU